AACCCAUGGUGAGGGCACCUUCUUAAUAAAUCCUUGUAUCUCUCCCAUGCAUCAUAAACUGUUUCUAAAUCCAUCUACACAAAAGAAGAAAUAUCAUUCCUCAACUU
rnacentral:snoRNA from 1 species